rnacentral:rRNA from 1 species
UCGCCUGUUUUACAAAAACAUUUCUAUUAGAAUAUAAUUAAUAGUAAAAUCUGCUCAAUGAUAAAUUUAUAUAGCCGCUUUUGUGCUAAGGUAGUAUAAUAAUUUGUCUUUUAAUUAAAGACCAAAACAAAAGAUUUAACAUCUUAAUAUAUAUUUUAAAUCUAUUUAUUUAAAUUAUCUUAAAUGUAAAAAGACAUUUAUAAAAAUGAAAGACGAUAAGACCCUAUUGAACUUAACUUUAGUUUAACUGGGGAAGUUAAUUAAUUAUUACUUUAAUCUUAAAUAAAUUAAAUUUUAACCUAAUAUUAUUAAAAAUAAAUAAGUUACCAUAGGGAUAACAGCGUAAUAAAAUUUUUAAGAUCUUAUUUAAAAUAAAGAUUGCGACCUCGAUGUUGAUUUAAUUUUCUUAUUUCACGCAACAGUUAUAAAGAAAGUCGUCGCU